rnacentral:misc_RNA from 1 species
CAACCGUUCAACAAAUGUAAGUUAGUACCCAAUAAUCAGUCUGAGAUCCUAAUCUCGACUCCCAAAACGUCCUUCACCAUUUCGUAUGUCACAAAUGCGAUUGCGAUUGAUGGGACGACCUUCACUGAGUUGGGAACCAAACCCUUAUACAAUGCUCUAAAGCCUUCAUAACGAACUGUUUUUCUAAAAGCAUCAACCAUGCCAGUGUACUCUAGGGCUGCCUUACUUCUUCCAUCACCAGUGACUACAGAAGCAGCAUUAUUCCAGCCCACCAUCUGCAUUCUUCUACGAAUGACAUCAAGAGGAUAGGCAACAGUUUGACCUACUGUUCCAGCAGCAGCUCCACAUGCUAGCCGUGUUGUUACACUGAGCUCUGAAUCUUCAACAAUUCCGAAUGGUUUGUUUUUAAUUAACCAAUCUUUAAG